AUUGCCUUUGAGCAUUUUGGUGAAGAUAAGUGCAGAGUCUGUGUGUAUUAGAUUAACAUGUGAUACUCCUCUACCCAAGGACAAUAUAUUAAGUGGAUUUUAGAAGUAGGGAGAUAGAACAGGAGCAUGCCCCAACUUUUCCACACAUCAUCCUGGUAUUGCAGAACCUCCAGAAAUUCCCUCA